CAGCAGCCACGGGAAUACGUAGGGUGCAAGCGUUAAUCGGAAUUACUGGGCGUAAAGCGUGCGCAGGCGGUUUGUUAAGACAGGUGUGAAAUCCCCGGGCUUAACCUGGGAACUGCAUUUGAAACUGGCAAGCUAGAGUCUUGUAGAGGGGGGUAGAAUUCCAGGUGUAGCGGUGAAAUGCGUAGAGAUCUGGAGGAAUACCGGUGGCGAAGGCGGCCCCCUGGACAAAGACUGACGCUCAGGUGCGAAAGCGUGGGGAGCAAACAGGAUUAGAUACCCCGGUAGUCCCUGUCUCUUAUAA
rnacentral:rRNA from 1 species